rnacentral:rRNA from 1 species
GACGAACGCUGGCGGCGUGCCUAAUACAUGCAAGUAGAACGCUGAAGGAGGAGCUUGCUUCUCUGGAUGAGUUGCGAACGGGUGAGUAACGCGUAGGUAACCUGCCUGGUAGCGGGGGAUAACUAUUGGAAACGAUAGCUAAUACCGCAUAAGAGUAGAUGUCGCAUGACAUUUGCUUAAAAGGUGCAAUUGCAACACUACCAGAUGGACCUGCGUUGUAUUAGCUAGUUGGUGAGGUAACGGCUCACCAAGGCAACGAUACAUAGCCGACCUGAGAGGGUGAUCGGCCACACUGGGACUGAGACACGGCCCAGACUCCUACGGGAGGCAGCAGGAGGGAAUCUUCGGCAAUGGACGGAAGUCUGACCGAGCAACGCCGCGGGAGGGAAGAAGGGUGUCGGAUCGUAAAGCUCUGUUGUAAGAGAAGAACGAGUGUGAGAGUGGAAAGUUCACACUGUGACGGUAUCUGACCAGAAAGGGACGGCUAACUACGUG